rnacentral:rRNA from 1 species
UAGCGUAGGGGGCAAGCGUUGUCCGGAUUUAUUGGGCGUAAAGAGCGUGUAGGCGGCCGUACAGGUCAGCUGUGAAAACUCGAGGCUCAACCUCGAGACGUCGGUUGAAACCGUACGGCUAGAGUCCGGAAGAGGAGAGUGGAAUUCCCGGUGUAGCGGUGAAAUGCGCAGAUAUCGGGAAGAACACCCGUGGCGAAGGCGGCUCUCUGGGACGGUACUGACGCUGAGACGCGAAAGCGUGGGGGAGCGAACAGG